rnacentral:snoRNA from 10 species
UUCUCACCUAAACCCAAGAAUCACUGUUUCUUAUAGCGGUGGUUUAAACAGAGGUGCAAACAGCAAGUGAAUCUCGUCGCCUUUGCGGGGCUGUGGCCAUGCCCCUCAAAGGAAAUUUGGAGGCUCUACAGCC